AUUGAACGCUAGCGGGAUGCUUUACACAUGCAAGUCGAACGGCGGCGCGGACUUCGGUCUGGCGGCGAGUGGCGAACGGGUGAGUAAUGUAUCGGAACGUGCCCAGUAGCGGGGGAUAACUACGCGAAAGCGUAGCUAAUACCGCAUACGCCCUACGGGGGAAAGCAGGGGAUCGUGAGACCUUGCACUAUUGGAGCGGCCGAUAUCGGAUUAGCUAGUUGGUGAGGUAACGGCUCACCAAGGCGACGAUCCGUAGCUGGUUUGAGAGGACGACCAGCCACACUGGGACUGAGACACGGCCCAGACUCCUACGGGAGGCAGCAGUGGGGAAUUUUGGACAAUGGGGGCAACCCUGAUCCAGCCAUCCCGCGUGUGCGAUGAAGGCCUUCGGGUUGUAAAGCACUUUUGGCAGGAAAGAAACGUCGCGGGCUAAUACCCCGUGGAACUGACGGUACCUGCAGAAUAAGCACCGGCUAACUACGUG
rnacentral:rRNA from 1 species